rnacentral:rRNA from 1 species
GGACGAACGCUGGCGGCGUGCUUAACACAUGCAAGUCGAACGAUGAAGCCCUUCGGGGNUGGAUUAGUGGCGAACGGGUGAGUAACACGUGGGCAAUCUGCCCUUCACUCUGGGACAAGCCCUGGAAACGGGGUCUAAUACCGGAUACGACCUGCCGAGGCAUCUCGGCGGGUGGAAAGCUCCGGCGGUGAAGGAUGAGCCCGCGGCCUAUCAGCUUGUUGGUGAGGUAACGGCUCACCAAGGCGACGACGGGUAGCCGGCCUGAGAGGGCGACCGGCCACACUGGGACUGAGACACGGCCCAGACUCCUACGGGAGGCAGCAGUGGGGAAUAUUGCACAAUGGGCGAAAGCCUGAUGCAGCGACGCCGCGUGAGGGAUGACGGCCUUCGGGUUGUAAACCUCUUUCAGCAGGGAAAGAAGCGAAAGUGACGGUACCUGCAGAAGAAGCGCCGGCUAACUACGUGCCAGCAGCCCGCGGGUAAUACGUAGGGCGCAAGCGUUUGUCCGGAAUUAUUGGGGCGUUAAGAGCUCGUUAGGGCGGCUUGUCACGUCGGGUUUUAA